rnacentral:rRNA from 1 species
CUUAAUUUGACUCAACGCGGGGAAACUCACCAGGUCCAGACACAAUAAGGAUUGACAGAUUGAGAGCUCUUUCUUGAUUUUGUGGGUGGUGGUGCAUGGCCGUUCUUAGUUGGUGGAGUGAUUUGUCUGCUUAAUUGCGAUAACGAACGAGACCUUAACCUGCUAAAUAGCCAGGCCCGCUUUGGCGGGUCGCCGGCUUCUUAGAGGGACUAUCGGCUCAAGCCGAUGGAAGUUUGAGGCAAUAA